GAUGAACGCUGGCGGCGUGCCUAACACAUGCAAGUCGAGCGAACAGAUGAGGAGCUUGCUCCUCUGACGUUAGCGGCGGACGGGUGAGUAACAUGUGGAUAACCUACCUAUAAGACUGGGAUAAUUACGGGAAACCGGAGCUAAUACCGGAUAAUAUAUUGAACCGCAUGGUUCAAUAGUGAAAGACGGUUUUGCUGUAUCUUAUAGAUGGAUCCGCGCCGCAUUAGCUAGUUGGUAAGGUAACGGCUUACCAAGGCUACGAUGCGUAGCCGACCUGAGAGGGUGGUCGGCGACACGGGAACGGGGACACGGUCCAGACUCCUGCGGGAGGCAGCAGUAUGGAAUCUGACGCAAUGGGGGAGAGCCUUACGGAGCGACGCCGCGUGAGUUAUGAAGGUCUUCGGAUCGUGAAACUCUGUUAUUAGGGGAGAACAAAUUUGUAAGUAACUGUGCACGGCUUGACGGUACCUGGUCAAAAAGCCACGGCUAACUACGUG
rnacentral:rRNA from 1 species